rnacentral:lncRNA from 1 species
AAAUUCUUGAAAUAGUUUACCGUCUUUUAAAAUUGUUGAAUACUCAGUGUCACGUUGGAACAUACGAUAACUGUAAUAUUGCAAUUGUGUCAGUCGAGCAGAUGAAGGUCCACCUUGGGAAGUGUUCCACUGUUUCAAAUCUGGAUUCCAUCCUAGCUCACCAUAAGGGAACAAUACCACAUAAUGCAAUGGCAAAUAGGUCGGAU